rnacentral:lncRNA from 1 species
UUCAACCAAAUGGAUCCCAAAGCACUUUCCAAAUUAUGCAACUUUGGAGGUGAAUUGCCUCAGCUGUCCAACAGCUGUCAGCAGCACUCUGCAACAGGGACUGAGCAAGAGGGAGGACGCAGAUUCUCCACGGAACUCUUCGCAGCAUUUAGGUUUGUGGAAUGCAAUUCCCCAAAAUGGAGUUUGGCCCAGAGCAGGGUCUCAUCUACUCUCGGUAGAAAUGCAGUAAAGCCAUUCUUAUCCCUAAAUGAUCAGCAGAUUUCUCUGCCUUAUAAAAUAUAUCUGUGAAUGGAAAUUAAUACUAGUCUUGUGCCUAGGAAGAUCCAUUACAUAUUUCAAAUUACAUUUCUUUGGCAAUGACUUAUUUAAUAAUUGAUAAGGGGAUGGUGGUUUCAAGCAGAACCUCAUUUCCUGUUCACAUAUUAAGAGAUUAAUAAACUGUGGAAUUAAGUUAAAUCAGGCUGUCUGGAAUCUCAUGUGCUAAAAUCCACUCUGUUUUGGUCUAAGUUUGGGUUUUUUGAGGAGUUGUUUUUGCAACCUGAUAAAAUUCUGACUUUCCAUCUCUCGCCCUAUUAGUGCAGGCCCAGAUGAUUCAUGGUAAACUUUCCAGGAUAUUCUCUUAAUUCUGUGUUGUCCAACUAAGGAGUACAGGGGAUCUGCAAAGUUGUAAAAUCAAGGUGGUAAAGAUUCUUGGAGCUUCUAAUAUAUUCAAAAGUUUGAGCUAUGUGUCAGUCCCUGGGGAUCAAGUGAAGGAGGUACAGCUUCUUCAGUCACAGACUGUCUUGUCAUGUGGAUACAGGAAAGACCUAACAAGAAAAAGGCAUAGCCAAAAUGCAAAACCACCUACCUACACAGAGAACAACAGCAUAGUCUGAUCUGUUUCCACCAGCCAGCAAAAGUGAACCUGGUAAGUUUACUUUAGCCUCUAAACCUGCUUCCUGGAUUCUACAUCUUUUCUUAACUAUACCAUUGCUAUUUGGGGGCUGAGGGGGAACAGAACAAUUAGACACACCUGGUUAAAGUGUCCUGUGCCCUGUUCACACUUCAUGUUGUAUCUUAAAGUGACAGCAUAUUAAAAUGUCAAUGGAAUUCCUAGGCAUUAUGUGGCUAUCACAGCUGAAAGUAUAAUUAUAGUUCUUAGCCUACGGAACUAGAUUCCACUCAUUUCAAGGACCAGAAAGUAAUAUAUAGUGUGAAAUAUGUAAUUUUCACAAAAUUAUAAAAGGUUAGAAAAAUGAAGUGUACCUUCAUGUAAUCAAAAAUUCUUAUUGGCGUGUGUGUAUGUGUGAGUGUGUGUUUAUGUGUGAGCAUGUGUUUAGAGCUUGGUCAUGGUAUUCUUUGGAGUCUACCAUCACAUGUUAGGCACAAUACUUAAAAUUUUGGUCAAGAAAAGUGUU